AUGUGGUUUAAUUCGAUGCAACGCGAAAACCUUACCCACCUUUGACAUGGCAGGAAUCCUAAAGAGAUUUGGGAGUGCUCGAAAGAGAACCUGCACACAGGUGCUGCAUGGCUGUCGUCAGCUCGUGUCGUGAGAUGUUGGGUUAAGUCCCGCAACGAGCGCAACCCUUGCCAUUAGUUGCUACGAAAGGGCACUCUAAUGGGACUGCCGGUGACAAACCGGAGGAAGGUGGGGAUGACGUCAAGUCCUCAUGGCCUUUAUGUCCAGGGCUACACACGUGCUACAAUGGGUUGUACAAAGGGUUGCGAACUCGCGAGAGUAAGCCAAUCCCAAAAAGCAACUCUUAGUUCGGAUUGGAGUCUGCAACUCGACCCCAUGAAGCUGGAAUCGCUAGUAAUCGUGGAUCAGCAUGCCACGGUGAAUACGUUCCCGGGCCUU
rnacentral:rRNA from 2 species